CAUUACUUUCCUCUCUCUUUAAAGCAAAGUUUGCACAAUAGGUCUUGUUUGGUAGCUGAGAAAAUAGGCAAAAACACCCUAUUUUCUCAAGACCUUUUCCCUGGUUUGAGAAUAGGGAAAGCCAUAGAUUAACAGAGCAAGAUGGGGCUCCGCCUUUCCCAUUUUUUCCCCAAUUUUAGGGAAAACUGUAGUAUACCCCUUGGACUGAGCUACAUUUUUAUAUGGUAGGGGGAAACACAGAACACCCCCUUAUUUCACUCACUCAUGCUCAAACCCUUGGCCCAUAUUAUUUUCUCACUCUCUCUCUCAACCCUCUCUCUCUCUCUCUCUCUCAAACCCAACACGUCCCUAUCCAAGCCUCUUCUCUCUUUCUCUCUCCUCCAGCUGAUACCCUCUCUCUACCCCAACUCGUCUUUACCCAAGCCCAUUCCCGCUCUCUACCCUACUCGAGGUCCCUCUCUCUCUCUCUACACAUGCCUCUUCUCUCUCUUCGUCUGCAACCCCAAGUAUAAUCUUGUACUCUCCCCAUCCUUUAUUUGAAGACAUGCCUUCAUUUAGAGAAACCUCAUCUAUGGCAUGGAUAUGUAUUGUAUGUGUGGAUACCUAUUCUUGCUAAAAUUAGGUGGAUAUGUAUGGACAUGCAUCUCUUGUUAAGAUUAAGUGUUUUCUUAUGGAUAUAUAUCUUUUGGUUAGGACAAGAUUAGGUGUAUUUGAUAUGUAUCUAUAAUUGUUACUUGCGGGAUAUUUAUACUAGUUUUGCAUAUUAUUUGAUACAUGGAUAUAGAGAGAGCUUCCUGUAGAAAUUCUGAGACUCGGAAUCAGAGCCAUAGAUUUUGUCAGACCUACUGUCGGAUAGAACCAACAACCUAAGGAUUGAUCUGUACCUCUACAGUGACUCUGAUCUGAGCCCUACUAUCAAGUAGUUCCAUAACAACCAUUCAGCUGUUUCAAUCCAUUGCCUCAUCAAGGGCUUCAAGUGCGCCUCAUUUUCACAUAAAAGGGCCAAAACCCAUUGUUCCUAACGCAGUUCGCUCAUUGACCGAUUUCUAUCGAGCACCAACACUCUAGCAACCCCAUCGAUCGUGAGACCCCAUUCCUUCCUUCCUUCUUUCUAUUGAGCCAUUUUUCCACUGUCCGUCAAUUCCCUUUCUUUAAAGCCUGCAGAAGUACAUAAUAUAAAAUAUCAAAUGAUAAGAGGAGCCCCAAUACCAUAGAGCGUCAUACCAGUCUUGACCGAGCAACCAGCGUGCUUAUUAUCCCAACCUAACUCGUUGAUGGUGUCAUCCGCACCCAAGACCUUCUCGCUUGUUUUUAUGUAUUCUUAUAGGCCAUGUGGAGCCAUGCUGCUGCCCAUAACAAUUCAUCCUGGUAACCGUAGAAAUCACAGUUGAAGGGGCAAAUGGCUGAAUUGAAGUGACACGCUUCUCUCUCUGCGACCGUGCCAUUGCUCAAUGCUUUCUCUGUCUAUGAUCUGUAAACUCAUUCGCCUUGGCUUUGUGACUACGCCAUUGCUUUUGAGGGGCCUCCAUCUAAGACGAAGGUAACAUUCAUGAUUAUAUUGCUUUAGGUUGCCUUUUCUUUUUUAAAGAAAAUUCAUUGACUUCCUCUAAUUCAGUUCAAAUUAUUAUUGUCAAAUUAGAUGGAUCGAACUAUAGUCAUUGGUCCUAUCUUAUGCAGAGUUCUCUUAAGGAGAAAUGGCUAUGGAAAUAUAUCACUGGUGACAAAUUAUAUCGCAAAGCAUCUAACGCAUUAAAAGGAGAAGGAUUUUGAAUAUAAAUUAGAAGAAUGAAGACAUAAACAACCAUAAAAUUGUCACAUGGAUUGUCAACUCUAUUAAACCAUCAAUUAGUAUGGAAUUUGGAAUAUUUGAAACUGCCAAAGAGCUAUGAGAAUUUCUUUUCUCUCGCCAUGUUCAAACUAAUUUUGCUUGUAAAUAUAAACUUGAGAUUUAUCUCUGAUUUUCAUUUUCAAAUUUCAGUUAUAAUGGAACCCAAAUAGUUUGUUGAUGCUGAAAUUAUUAAAAGCAUAGAGAAGAAAUGCACUUGGUCCAAUUUUUAAUGACUUUACAAGAUGAUUUUGAAUCUGUUUGAUCAUCUAUUCUUUACCGCACUCCUCUUCCAUAUGUAGAUUAUGUACUUUCUGAGCUCAUGGUUGAAGAAACACAAAAGGGAAGAUUUGUCAAUUCUCUUGUAAAUGAAGAAUCUGUUCUUUUGGCUCCAACAAAUCUUCCUGUGACUGCUCUACCGACCUCGUCCUCUUCAGUUGCGACUGGAAGGACCGGCUAUGAUAUGUCCAAAGUUCAAUGCAAUUAUUGCAAACAGUAUUGACACAUGAAAUUUAUUGUCCAGUUAAAUAAAAAAAAAACCCUUUGUUCAGAAAACCAUUGCACUAGGACUCACUAUGGCAUUGCACUAGGACUCACUGUGGUAUAGGUAAUGCAUUUGUUGUUGCAUAUGCUUUGCUUGGAACCUCAGGUACAAAACAUUAACUCAUUGAUUUUGGUGCUUCUAACCAAAUAUCAUUUGAUUCUAGUUUCUUGUAUUCUCCUAUUUUUGCUACUAAUCAUCUAUUAAUCCAUACUUAUGGUGGUUCUGUUAUGUUUGUAAAUAUUGGUACAAUAGCAUUCUCUCAAUUAUCACUUCUUGAUGUCUUCAUGGUUCCCAAACUAUCAAUGAAUCUCAUUUUUGUAGGGCAGUUGUUCACCAAGAUUUUGACAUUAUUUUAUCCUGCUCUAGUUCUGUUGUGUAGGAUCACUUGAUGGGGAAAGCAAAUUGGGACAGGAUGUAAGAGGACUUACAUGUUUCACAACAUCUUGGGGAUUCGCUACUCGCUGGUUCAGCUACCUCAAUAUCUUCCUUUUUAAUGUGGCAUAACAGACUAGUCAUGUUUCUUUUCCUCGGCUUAAGUUUUUAAUGUCAACUGGUAAGUUGGGCUCUAUACAGACCACCAACAUUGUUGGUUGCAUUAUUUGUAUGUUGGUGCAAGUUGGCAAAAAAUACUGCACUUACAUUUCCUAUUAAUGAAUUUGUUUUUUCUUCUCCUUUUGAUCUCAUGCAUUCUGAUUUGUGGAGUCCCACUUCUGUUUCAUCUAUAGGGAGGGAUCAUUGUUACAUUAUUUUUAUUGAUGAUUAUUCCUGGUGCACUUUGGUAUACAUGUUGCAUUUUAAGUUUGACUUUUAUCAUGUUUAUAAUGAAUUAUCUACCAUGAUCAAACCCAAUUUUCAAAAUCCAUUAAAUUUUUUGUUCUGAUUCUGGUGGAGAAUAUUUGUCAAAAUCAUUUAGAAGUCUCCUCUCAUGGAACAUUGGCUCAAUUGUCAUAUCCUGAUACACCACAACAAAAUGGUGUGGCAGAAUGAAAGCAUUGCCAUAUCAUUGAGACUGCUCAUACCAUGUUGCUUUCAUCUUCAAUUCCAAAAUUUGUUGGGGAGAGGCAAUAAAUACCUCUGUUUAUGUCAUCAAUAGUAUCCCAUCAUUUGGCAUGUUUCCUUUUGAGCAAUUUUAUUCCUCUACUCCUGAUUAUUCUCAACUCUAUGUUUUUGGAUCAAAUUGUUUUGUUCUCUUACCUAAAGAUGAACAAAAAAAGUUGUCCAAGAAAUUAGCCAUGUGUAUUUUUGGGUUAUGGCGUUCAGCAAAAAGGCUUUCGGUGUUAUAAUCCCAUUUCACAAAAAAUUCUUCUUUCACACCACGUAACUUUCUAAGAAAGGGUAUCUGUCAUGCUUUCGCCAUCUCUCCCAUUCAUCUCAUGAGCUCAAUCAUUUUCUUGAUCCCUUCAUUGACUCCUCAGGAGACCUUUUAGUACCCAAUGCUCUGUCUGACACACCUCAAGACACUUUACAACAAAAUGGAGAUAUCAGUCCCUCUGUCUCAUUUGACCCUAAGCUUUAUGUGCCAUAUCCUAAUUAUGCACCUCCUAAUAGCGAUGAGCAACCUCCUCCUCCAUGAGUCACUAUCCUACAUGAGUGCGCUCUGCACCUCAGCAUUUUCAUGAUUUUCAUUGCUUUUUAACUACUGUUCUUUCUUUUCAUGAGCCUAAGACAUACAAAAAAGCUGUAUUUGAUCCAAGUUAGUAGUAAGCUAUGAUAGAUGCCUUAAAAAAAAUAAUACCCGAGAUCUUGUUGCUUUACCUCAUGGAAAAUCUAUCGUCAGUUGUCAAUGGGUCUACAAAAUUAAGACUAAUUCAAUGAGAUAAUUGAGCGGUAUAAAGCAUGUUUAGAUGCAAAGGGCUUCACUCAAGAGUAUGGGAUUGAUUAUGAAGUAAAGUUUGCACCAAUUGCUCGACUAACCUCAGUACGGAUCGUAAUUGCCAUAGCUUUUGUUCGCGGUUGGCCUUUGUAUCAAGUGGAUAUUAAGAAUGCCUUCUUUUUUGGUGGCUUGCAUGAAGAAGGUUAUAUGAAACAUCCUCUUGGUAUUCCCCAUCAACCUAAUCAAGUUUGCAAACUUUGAUAGGCCCUAUAUGGUCUUAAAUAGGCACCUCGUGCUUGAUUUAAGAAAUUCUGCUUUGUUAUCAUCCAACUGGGUUCACUCAAAGUCCUCAUGAUUAUGCACUUUUCGUUCAAUGAUAUGGUAUUGACUGACAGUGAUUAUGCUGGUAUCCGUAAUGCUCAACUGCACUUGCACAAGUACUUUGAAGUGAAGGACCUUGGACGACUUCGUUACUUUCUUGGCAUUGAACUUAUUUCUUAGCUCACGGCUAUACUCUAUCUCAACUAAAAUAUGCAUCUGAUCUCAUAUCUCGGGCUUCUCUCACAGACAACAAAAUUGUUUAGACUCCACUAGAGUUGAAUGUCAAGUUCGCUUCACAAAUGGUAUAUUGCUUUCUGAUUUGACCCGGUACAUGUAAAUUGUUGGAGGUCUUAAUUAUUUAACUAUCACUUGUCCUAAUAUCGGUCAUGUUGUUCACAUAGUUAGUUAGUUCAGGUUUCCUCCUCGCUCUAUUCAUUAUGCUGCUAUACUUCACAUCUUAUGCUAUGUUCGAGAUAUCCUGUAUCAAGAUCUGCUUAUGUCUUCCACUUUUGCUCUUGAACUUUGUGCUUAUUAUGAUGUGGACUUGGCAUGAAAUGUUACUUAGCAUCUAUCUACUAAUGGGUUUCUUGUUUUCUUGAGCAAUUUACUUAUCCUGUGGAAAAGUGAGCGAUUUACUUAUCUUGCGGAAAAGUAAGAAAUAAAAAGUUGUUUCUAGAUCAAGUGUUGAAGCUGAAUACAUAGCUCUACUACUAGGUUUCUUGUGUUCUCGGGCGAUUUACUUAUCCUGUGGAAAAGUGGACGAUUUACUUAUCUUGUGGAAAAGUAAGAAAUAAAAGGUUGUUUCUCGAUCUAGUGUUGAAGCUGAAUACAGAGCUCUUGAAUGGACAACGACUGAAACUGUUUAGCUGUACUGGAUUCUUCACGAUAUGGGUGUUGUUCACUCUGGUCCUAGUCCACUUUUUUGUGACAAGUGCCAUUCAGAUGACUCAUAAUGAUAUGUUUUAUGAGUGGACACAAUAUUUUGAAAUUGAUUACCGCUUUGUUCGA